rnacentral:rRNA from 1 species
UAAAAACCCCGACUUCGGAAGGGGUGUAUUUAUUAGAUACAAAACCAAUGCCCUUCGGGGCUCUUUGGUGAUUCAUGAUAACUAUACGAAUCGCACGGCCUUGCGCCGGCGAUGGUUCAUUCAAAUUUCUUCCCUAUCAACUUUCGAUGUUUGGGUAUUGGCCAAACAUGGUUGCAACGGGUAACGGAGGGUUAGGGCUCGACCCCGGAGAAGGAGCCUGAGAAACGGCUACUACAUCCAAGGAAGGCAGCAGGCGCGCAAAUUACCCAAUCCCGACUCGGGGAGGUAGUGACAAUAAAUACUGAUACAGGGCCCUUUCGGGCCUUGUAAUUGGAAUGAGUACAAUUUAAAUCCCUUAACGAGGAACAAUUGGAGGGCAAGUCUGGUGCCAGCAGCCGCGGUAAUUCCAGCUCCAAUAGCGUAUAUUAAAGUUGUUGUGGUUAAAAAGCUCGAAGUUGAACCUUGGGCCUGGCUGGCCGGUCCGCCUCACCGCGUGCACUGGUCCGGCCAGGCCUUUCCAUCUUUGGAAAACUUACCUUUCUCGAUCGUAGCGGGAAAACAUGUUAAUUAUUUAGA